rnacentral:rRNA from 1 species
AAUAGAUACCCUGGUAGUCCAUGCCGUAAACGAUGUCUACUAGCCGUUGGGGCCCUUGAGGCUUUAGUGGCGCAGCUAACGCGAUAAGUAGACCGCCUGGGGAGUACGGUCGCAAGACUAAAACUCAAAUGAAUUGACGGGGGCCCGCACAAGCGGUGGAGCAUGUGGUUUAAUUCGAUGCAACGCGAAGAACCUUACCUGGCCUUGACAUACAGAGAACUUUCCAGAGAUGGAUUGGUGCCUUCGGGAACUCUGAUACAGGUGCUGCAUGGCUGUCGUCAGCUCGUGUCGUGAGAUGUUGGGUUAAGUCCCGCAACGAGCGCAACCCGUUUUCCUUAUUUGCCAGCACUUCGGGUGGGAACUUUAAGGAUACUGCCAGUGACAAACUGGAGGAAGGCGGGGACGACGUCAAGUCAUCAUGGCCCUUACGGCCAGGGCUACACACGUGCUACAAUGGUCGGUACAAAGGGUUGCUACUGCGCGAGCAGAUGCUAAUCUCAAAAAGCCGAUCGUAGUCCGGAUCGC